AUUCAUAUUUGGCAAAGCAGUUGAAAAGCUGUGACGCAAAGCUAAAGGGCCUGUUCCACAUAUGGAUGGCAGCCAGUUGCACUU
rnacentral:ncRNA from 1 species